GAUGAAGAACGCAGCGAAAUGCGAUAAGUAAUGUGAAUUGCAGAAUUCAGUGAAUCAUCGAAUCUUUGAACGCACAUUGCGCCCCCUGGUAUUCCGGGGGGCAUGCCUGUCCGAGCGUCAUUACAACCCUCAAGCUCAGCUUGGUGUUGGGCCCCGCCGCCCCGGCGGGCCCUAAAGUCAGUGGCGGUGCCGUCCGGCUCCGAGCGUAGUAAUUCUUCUCGCUCUGGAGGUCCGGUCGUGUGCUCGCCAGCAACCCCUAAUUUUUUUAAGGUUGACCUCGGAUCAGGUAGGGAUACCCGCUGAACUUAAGCAUAUCAAUAAGCGGAGGA
rnacentral:misc_RNA from 1 species